ACCACGAACAAGAUAAAAUGAAUAUAAGUAGUACGAGAUUACCCAAAAGAUGUUUGGAAUAAAUACAAGCUGACCUUCAAAACAUUUGAUGAAUAUUGUACCCAACAAGUUCAGCAAACUCACGGCAAAAUAGCACCAAGAAG